GCGCGGGGGCCGGCGCGGGGCGGCAGCGGCGGCAGCGGCCGGACAAUGUCGGUGGCGCGGGGCGGUGGGCGCGUGGCCCCUCCCCUCAGCGGGCGCGCGGCGGCGGCGGGAGCGGGAAGAGGCGGCGGCGGCGGCGAGGAGGCGGCGCCUGUGUCGGCGCUGGAGGUUGUGUCCUUCCUGGGGAAGCUGCUGUGCGCAGUCGCGGCGCUGAAGGCGGCUCUGUACCUGCUCCGCAGAGCGUGUCUAGCGAUGGCCUGGAAGUCGGGAGGCGCCAGCCACUCCGAGCUCAUCCACAACCUCCGCAAGAAUGGGAUAAUCAAAUCAGACAAGGUAUUUGAAGUAAUGCUGGCUACAGACCGUUGCCAUUAUGCAAAAUACAACCCUUAUAUGGAUUCUCCUCAGUCUAUAGGUUUCCAAGCAACAAUCAGUGCUCCACAUAUGCAUGCAUAUGCUCUUGAACUUCUGUCUGAUCAGUUACAUGAAGGAGCCAAAGCACUUGAUGUAGGAUCUGGAAGUGGAAUCCUUACAGCAUGCUUUUCACGAAUGGUGGGUCCCAAAGGACAAGUUGUAGGAAUUGAUCAUAUCAAAGAACUAGUAGAUGACUCAAUAAAUAAUGUCAAAAAAGAUGAUCCCACAUUGCUGUCUUCAGGAAGAGUGAAACUGAUUGUGGGAGAUGGAAGAAUGGGAUACGCAGAAGAAGCUCCCUAUGAUGCGAUUCAUGUAGGAGCUGCAGCGCCAGUUGUGCCCCAAGCACUUAUAGAUCAGUUAAAACCUGGCGGAAGAUUGAUAUUACCAGUUGGUCCUGCAGGGGGAAACCAGAUGCUCGAACAGUAUGACAAACUAGAAGAUGGCAGUGUCAAAAUGAAGCCUCUGAUGGGAGUGAUAUAUGUGCCUUUAACAGAUAAAGAGAAGCAGUGGUCCAGGUGGAAGUGAUUUUCUGUUCCACUUACUUCUUCCACACACACACAAGGUGAAAGGGUGUGAAUUUUAAGCAGAUAGACUGCAAGGCCUGCCUUUGCUGCUGUCAUUGCUUUCUGCUCCUCCAUACCAUGACAAGUGACUCAGUCUGCAUUACUACAUCACCAAAAGGAGGUUAUGCUAAGUUUGAGUUAAUUUAAAAGCAGAAGAAAAAUAUUGCAUGUAUUGCACUUUGUCUCUUUCAGACAUGUUUUAUUUAGUCCUUAGUGUGUUGAAGUUUCUUAUUUGUUGUUUUGAACAGAGUUUUUUAUUGUUUUGUUGGUUUUUUUUAGAUUUAAACUUCCCCUUUAAUGAACUUUUUAUAAGUAGCUCGCCCAGUAAUUAGGGUGAAGUGUAAAAUACUACUUCAGAAUAAAUAUUGUUUUGUCCUGUAAGUUAGUGGUAAUUGGGGUGUCUUUUUGGUUGUUUUUUUUUCUGAAGUGUCACAAAUGAAGAAAAAUCUUUGUGAAGUCUUUUGUGAGAAAUACACAUAAUCUUGAGAGCACUUUUCCCUCAGCACCAAGUAGCAGAAAGUGGAGAAGGUAAUCCCUUCUCCCCUAGAGUAUAAGUAUAGUUGAGUAGUGUUUGGAAAUUUUUCUCAGACACGUUAUUAGAAGUCUGUCAUUGUCUCUGAUGGGGACAUAUUUGUGUUUGCCAACACAGCAAACUCUAAAAGCCUUUCUAGGGGUAGUAAGCCUUCCAAUUUGCUGAGUUGAAUGGCCAGUAACACAGACAUAACACAGCUGUCAGCUUAAACCACGCUAGGCAUUAGUAUGCAAAUGAACAAAGCAGCAGUCCUGGUUUGCUUCCUGGCAGAAAAGGCUUGUGAACGUAUUGUGUGUGUAAGUGAAGUGCAUAGAUGUGUACUGAGUUCUGAAAGCGACUCCUGAGCUUUAUAACUCCUAAAUUUAGAAUUUUAUUUUUUUUCCCCUUGAUAUUCUACAGUACUGCUUCUGGUUCAGAUACAUGAACACUUAGAGUUUAGGUUAUCCAAAUGUCCAUUCUGAGUACAAACAAAGCAGUUUGCAUUACUGCUGCUUACUCAAACAUCAUUUCAGCGUUUCUUGGAUUACUGUAUAGCCACCAUGUACAAAUUACUCUUAGAAUGACUUUAAUGAGUUACUGCUUAGUUCAAAGCUUGUGAUGCAUGCUUGUUAUUCAGAUGUUUUGUAUUUGUUAUGCAAAUUAAUAUUUUGCCCUCGAAUAUUGCCAGUAUUCCCUCAGGGUGGUUUCCUGCCUCUUGUAAGGCUUUGGAAGUUUUGCUUUGUGGUUGGUUUCCUCCUCUUGCAAAUUUGGUGGACUUCAUUCAAGUUUGGAGUCCGUAUGUUCUGUUUCCUCUAGAAAAGAGAAGUGUUCUUCUUAAGCCUUUCUCCAGAGAGGUUUUACAGAUAUUUUUUUUCUGAAUUUCCACCUGAUCUGAUUAUAAUAGCAAUUGUUUUGGUUUUGUUGUUUGAGGGGUUUUUUGUAGCAGCAAUAUGUGUUCAAUAAACACAAUUUAUAAGAAGAGUUUCUGGAGUGGCAGUGGUUAUCCUUUGCUGCUGCUGAAGGUGGUGUAGUGUAUUAAGGACUAGAAUUCUAAGGUCUUUGCGUCUGUUCUGUGCAGUUUUGUACUCUUUUCUCUGCUAGCUCAGGAAGAAGUAAUAAGUUAUCUUUGAGCCUUCUUCAGUCAUGAGUAUUGUAGGGUUCUUUUCCCCAGAUUUUCUUACCAGUUUCUGUUGUUUUCUGAAAUACUUCUAGAUUUUUAUUUUUAAUUUAAAUGUUAAGAAUAUCCACUGGUCUUGUCAGAAGAGGUAAAUGCUUAGCCUGAAAGGUUACCUUGAUCACUAGAGUGACACAGAGGCUGUUUCUUGCUAUGUACAUUUAAAUUUGGUUCUGACUUGGAAAUCUCUGUUAAAGGAAAUCUCAGAAGUCCACUUCUUGUAAUGUUUGUGUUUUCUUUAAUUGUCCUUUUUGUGAUCUGAAAAAAAAUUCCAUUCCCUUUUCAGUGAUAGUUGCCAGUCCACUGCUGACCUUACAGGAGUUCACAUCUGUCUUUUUUUUGUUGUUUUUCCCUUCUGGUGAGUCCAAAGGAAACUCCUAAUUAUAAGUCAGCAGUUCUUAUUGAUGCUAGCAUCAAAGAUGAAAGAGGUAUUUUCCUAAUGCAGAUAACAGUUUCAUCACAUUAAGUAUUGGUGUCCCUUCACGAAAUACAAUCAAUAGGCCAGCAGUAUUUUCCUAGGCUAGCAGACCUUCCAGUUGGCCAGAAAGAAGGUGCUUAAAUUUUUGCUUAGCCAUUCACGUGUUGGAGAAGUUGGUUCUGCUCCUUACCAGGGCUGCGAGGUGCCCCUUACAAACCAACGCAGCAGUUACUUGAUCUCCAAGCGGUGUUUGAGGUCAAACCUACCUUCAGAUGUUUUGCAUCAUCCAUCACUAUGUAGAACUGGAACUUUGAGCAAAAGAAAAACAGGACUAGCUGGAAGGAAAAGACGCCUUGGAUUUCAAUAAAUUGAUGUGGUGUUAAAUAAAGAAUCUUAUUUUGUGAAUAUUGUUGACUAAAUUUAAAGAAAUCCAGUAACUUUCUAGCUCGGGUUCAGCUGCAGUAGUGGUUCAGCGGCAGUAGUAUUUUUAAGCUCCAAAUAUUAGUGGGAAUCUUCUCAAAUGUGACUCCAUGGGACAUUUGGAAGUAGAAUAUACAAAGGAACCGUAUCUCUGGUACAAAAUGAAAUACAUUAGUAUACCAGAGAUCCAGCAGUAGGUAAAUGCUACUCGUGAUUAUGCUGGUAAGUGUGUUUAUGCUUUCACAUAAAACUUCCCAGUAUUUUUUUUUUUUUCUUGCUGAUAAGUAGGGAGGAGAAAAGAACUUUUUGCUGCACAGUUGAGAAGACAACUUAUUGGCUACGUUAUUGAUGAAUGAUGUAUCCAAAAGGGAAAGUCAAAUGCUGCCUAAUGACAAGAAAAUUGAAGUGGAUCAAAAAGAGGAUGAAUUGUAAAAGCUACAUCAUCUUGACCCAAACAUAGUGUUACAGUGGACUGCUCAUCUCCAGUUCUAAAAGCUUUUUGAAAACCAACAGCAUUGCAGCUUGUUUUGGACUUCAUUAUACUGUUAUCAGCAUGGAAAAGCGUGGUGUUUGUUUUAUUUUUUUAGAUGCUCAAGGCAAAUCCGAUAAAGAAAUGGUGGAAAGUUU